AUUGAACGCUGGCGGCAGGCCUAACACAUGCAAGUCGAGCGGAUGAAGAGAGCCUGCUCUCUGAUUUAGCGGCGGACGGGUGAGUAAUGCCUAGGAAUCUGCCUGGUAGUGGGGGAUAACGUUCCGAAAGGAACGCUAAUACCGCGUACGUCCUACGGGAGAAAGCAGGGGACCUUCGGGCCUUGCGCUAUCAGAUGAGCCUAGGUCGGAUUAGCUAGUUGGUGAGGUAAUGGCUCACCAAGGCGACGAUCCGUAACUGGUCUGAGAGGAUGAUCAGUCACACUGAAACUGAGACACGGUCCAGACUCCUACGGGAGGCAGCAGUGGGGAAUAUUGGACAAUGGGCGAAGGCCUGAUCCAGCCAUGCCGCGUGUGUGAAGAAGGUCUUCGGAUUGUAAAGCACUUUAAGUUGGGAGGAAGGGCAGUAAGUUAAUACCUUGCUGUUUUGACGUUACCAACAGAAUAAGCACCGGCUAACUUCGUGCCAGCAGCCGCCGUAACAC
rnacentral:rRNA from 1 species